rnacentral:rRNA from 1 species
AUUGAACGCUGGCGGCAGGCCUAACACAUGCAAGUCGAGCGAGCGGAGGACGGGUGCGUAAUGUAUGGGGACUGCCCGAUAUAGGGCGAUAACAACUGGAAACGGCAGCUAAUACCGCAUACUAUCGGAUUACGCAUAUGGGAUUAGCUAGUAGGUGGGGUAAUGGCCCACCUAGGCGACGAUCCCUAGCUGGUCUGAGAGGAUGAUCAGCCACACUGGGACGGAGACACGGCCCAGACUCCUACGGAGGCAGCAGUGGGGAAUAUUGCACAAUGGGCGCAAGCCUGAUGCAGCCAUGCCGCGUGUAUGAAGAAGGCCUUAGGGUUGUAAAGUACUUUCAGUCGGGAGGCGUUACCGACAGAAGAAGCACCGGCUAACUCCGUGCCAGCAGCCGCGGUAAUAC